UUAUAUACUUUAUGGAUUAUAUAUUGUAUUAUUGUUGUCAGUGAAACACUGUGUAUGUCUGUUUAAAAUAAAUCAAUAAAAGGAAAUAUGGUGAAGUUUAUUUCUAAAACCUGACAGUCCAGAGUUAGGACCAGGAAGCAGAGCUGCUGUCUUACACACUUCUCUGCUCUUUCUUUAGAACAGUCACCCACCCAAAACCCCAUAGAGACUGUGUCUGUCCCCCGACCACCUAAAUUAUUAACAGAAAUAAAAACAAGAGGAGUUCAACAUAAAAAUCUAAUAAAAAUUAAAACUAACUCCUCAGUAGCACAAAAUAAGAGAAUGAAAUGUGGGCUGUUAAAUAUCAGGUCUCUGUCCUCUAAAGCUGUUUUAGUGAAUGAACUAAUAUCAGAUUAUGAUAUUGAUUUACUUUGUCUUACUGAGACCUGGUUGUCCCACGAGGAGUAUGUUAGCCUAAAUGAAUCCACCCCCCCCAGUCAUAUUAAUACUCACAUUCCUCGAGGCACUGGCCGAGGAGGUGGAGUGGCAGCCAUAUAUGAUUCGAGCGUUUUAAUGGACCCUAAACCUAAACUAAAUUAUAAUUCAUUUGAAAGCCUUGUUCUUAGUCUUUCUCACCCAAACUGGAAAACACUGCAGCCAGUUCUAUUUGUUAUAGUGUACCGCGCUCCUGGACCGUACUCUGAUUUUAUAUCUGAUUUCUCAGAGUUUCUAUCAAGUUUAGUCCUUAAAUCAGAUAAACUACUUAUUGUAGGUGAUUUUAAUAUUCAUGUGGAUGUUAACAAUGACAGCCUUAGUAACGCAUUUAUAUCAUUAGUAGACUCAAUUGGCUUCUGUCAGAGUGUAAAUAAAACUCAUUGUUUUAAUCACACUCUUGACCUUGUUCUAUCAUAUGGCAUUGAUAUUGAACAUUUAAUAGUCUUCCCACAUUAUCCUUUCCUAUCUGACCAUUAUUUAAUAACUUUUGAAUUCAUACUAUUAGAUUAUAAGCCAUUAGGCAAAACUUCCUACAGCAGAUGUCUAUCUGACAGUGCUGUAGCUAAAUUUAAGGAGGAUAUUCCUUCAGUGUUUAAUUCAAUGCCAUAAAGUCCUAUAAUAACUUUAGUCUCUCUGAAAUUGAUAAUCUUGUUGAUAGUGCUACAGGCUCACUACAAUCAACAUUAGACUCUAUCGCUCCUAUAAAAAGGAAAUUAUUAAAACAUAGGAGACUAGCACCUUGGUAUAACCACCAAACCCGCCAGUUAAAACAAAUAGCUAGGAAAUCUGAAAGGAAAUGGCGCUCUUCCAAAUUAUCAGAAUAUCGCUCAAUUUGGCAAGAUAAUCUUAAAACUUAUAGAAAGGCCCUCCGUAAUGCCAGAGGAGCCUAUUACUCAGCACUAAUAGAAGAAAAUAAGAAUAACCCUAGGUUCAUCUUCAGCACUGUAGCCAGGCUGACAGAGAGUCACAGCUCUAUUGAGCCACAUAUCCCCAUAAACUUAAGUAGCAAUGACUUCAUGAGCUUCUUCUAUAAUAAAAUUAUUACUAUUAGAGAAAAAAUUAAUCACCAACUGCCAUCAACAGUUAUCAGUGGCUCUCCAAGUUCAGGGACUUCUGUCAAUGUAAACUCAGAUAUAUAUUUAGACUGUUUUUCUGCUAUCGAUCUUCAUCAGUUAACUUCAAUCAUUUCUUCAUAGAAGCCAUCAACCUGUCUAUUAGACCCGAUCCCAACUAGGCUGCUUAAAGAAGUUGUUCCCUUAAUUGGCACUUCUUUACUGGAUAUGAUUAAUCUUUCUUUAUUAUCAGGAUAUGUACCACAGUCCUUUAAAGUAGCUGUAAUUAAACCCCUUCUUAAAAAGCCCACUCUUCAUGGUCAGGCCCCUUCAUAUCUUAAAGAGCUCAUAGUACCCUAUUACCCCACUAGAACACUACGUUCUCUGAAUGCUGGGCUACUUGUGGUUCCUAUAGUCUCUAAAAAUAGAACAGGAGCCAGAGCCUUCAGUUACCAAGCUCCUCUCCUGUGGAACCAGCUUCCAGUUGUGGUUCUGGAGGCAGACACCCUCACCACAUUCAAGAGUAGGCUUAAGACAUUCCUCUUUGAUAAAGCUUAUAGUUAGGGCUGGAUCAGGUGAGUCCUGAACCAUCCCUUAGUUAUGCUGCUAUAGGCCUAGACUAUCGGGGGAUUUCCCAUGGUGCACUGAGCUCCUCUCUUCCUCUCUCUUUCUGCACUCAUUCAUGUUCCAUUAAUGCAUGUUACUAACUCCACUUCUUCCCCGGAGUUCUUGUGCUUUCUCGUCUCGCAGGUUCUCAUGGAUCCUGGUGGAGCCUCCUGCCAUGGUCCUGCUAGAUUGCCAUUACCAAUUGUAACCCACAUAACAGAGUGAGUUCCAGAAUGAGAGAAGAAGGGAAAAAAAAAAAGAUAAAUUAAUUAAGACUAUUGUCAAUUUAUUUUCACUCAGAGUAAUGAGUAUCACCUAAAUAAGAGGAUCUUUGAUAUCUGUGAAGAGAUUGACAAGCCAGUGUUGACCAAUCAGUGACUUGGAUGCAGAGAGUUCCCGCCGUCUGUAUGAAGAGAGGAGCGAGAGUGAGCGGCCGAUAUUGAGAAGAGAGUCGAAAGAUUGGACGGCAAAAACUGAAGAAAACCCGAAAACAUAUGGUUUACUCUUCGUUUACGGAAGUCCGUUGUUGUUUUAGUGAAGUACUAGUGAAAGAACUAGUGUUAAUACGGGCAUUAGCACAGUCGCUAGCCGCAGCGCUAGUAGCUUGAACUAAUAGUUGUAGCUUUGACUGUGUCUCCUUUGUGCGCUUUGUCCGUACAUUGUCCGUACAUUGUCCGUGCUUUGUCCGUACUUUGUCCGUACUUUGUCCGUACUUUGUCCGUACUUUGUCCGUACAUUGUCCGUACUUUGUCCUUACUUUGUCCGUACAUUGUCCGUACUUUGUCCGUACAUUGUCCGUGCUUUGUCCGUACAUUGUCCGUACAUUGUCCGUGCUUUGUCCGUACAUUGUCCGUACAUUGUCCGUGCUUUGUCCGUACUUUGUCCGUACAUUGUCCGUACUUUGUCCGUACUUUGUCCGUACAUUGUCCGUACUUUGUCCGUACUUUGUCCGUACAUUGUCCGUACUUUGUCCGUACUUUGUCCGUACUUUGUCCGUACUUUGUCCGUACAUUGUCCGUACUUUGUCCGUACUUUGUCCGUACUUUGUCCGUGCUUUGUCCGUACAUUGUCCGUGCUUUGUCCGUACAUUGUCCGUACUUUGUCCGUACUUUGUCCGUACUUUGUCCGUGCUUUGUCCGUACUUUGUCCGUACUUUGUCCGUACAUUGUCCGUACUUUGUCCGUGCUUUGUCCGUACAUUGUCUGUACUUUACUUUACUUACCGGUUUUCAAAAUAAAGGUAUUUAGAACAGUAAGCUAUAAUGCGAACCUACAUUUAAAAUAAAAUAUUUUACAUUAAAGUGUUUCAUUGCAUAUUUGACCAUAUUUGAGGUACUGUAAAAACAUAUUGCUCAGUGUUUCCUGGCUACUGAUGGUAUAUUUGACUUUUACACAUAUGAGAUUACAAACAUACUUAAUAUCAAGCAUUUCUACUGUACAAAUUUGGAGAAAUUGAAGAAUAAAUGUCCCAUAUUUAUA